GAGCAAAAUUGGGUCUGCAAAAGGUAACCGGUUCAAAUUUAUUAGCAAAACAAUGGCCGAAGGAACCCGAUUGAAGGUACUUGAUGAACACGUUCACGCCCUGGAGCAACAACUCCAGGAACUAACUGUAGAAAAUGAGAAGAAGUUCGAUAAUCUCAGUAGUCGAAUGGAAGCUAUACGUACCGAAGGGCAAUCCCACUAUGAUGCACUUUAUAGGGAGUCAGCAAACACUACAAGGAAACUGGAGCAAAUAAUAGAACUAUUGAUGAAUGCGCCACAAUCUGCAGCUACUAAAGGAGCUUCAUCAUCUCUGAGUCACGAAGAGCGAGGUAUACUUCCUACCCCACCUACUUUUCAUACAAAAGAGGAUAAUCAUACAAAUUUCACACAAAGUAGAUCCGGGUUUCAAUUCUCACUGCCUAAAUUGGAAUUCCCAACCUUCGUGGGGGAGAAUCCGAGAAGUUGGGUGAGAAGGUGUGAGAGGUACUUUGAUAUAUAUGGUAUCAAGGAGAAUCAAAAAAUUGAAUUGGUUGCUCUUCACUUGGAAGCUAAGGCCGACACUUGGUUUCAAGGGUAUCUAGCUGAGAAGGAGGUUAUCAGUUGGGCCGAACUUGCCGAGGAGGUGUGCAGGCGAUUUGAUGUAAGAGGGUUGGUAGAUGUAGUAGAAGAGUUUAACAAGCUGGUGCAAACUGGGACAGUAGAAGAAUAUCAAGAGCAAUUCGAGGACUUGCGAGCUAGAUUACUUACCACCAAGUCUCAGUUCUCUCCGGAGUAUUUUCUUUCUAGCUUCCUAAGCGGGUUAAAAGACGAAAUCAAAUCAGCGGUUAAAAUGUUACAGCCUAGAACAUUGGCUCAAGCCUUCGAACAAGCGAAACUACAGGAGCAGACCAUGGCUGCGAUGAUAAGAAAGAGUAAACAGAUACUCCGAAUGCAAGGGGUUACCAACUCCCAAGGCAACUACAAGGUGAAUGGUUCAGCAACAUCAGGGAGAGGUCCUGACACCAACAGGAACCAAUACAAGGCUGCGGUGGAGAAGGCAACCACUAACCGUCAAUUAAUUGAACAGAGGAGAGCAAGUAGCCUACGGGAACCUAAUUGCAAAUGUCUACAAGCAAUUAUGAACGAAUCGAGGGUGAAAAUAACGGACCAUUGAGACCAUACAAGAGGUGAUCAUUCCGGAAUCCUGAAACCUAUGGCCGGGGGUGUGCGGGAUGCCACCUAAUGCCAAGGUGUGACUUGCUACCUAUGAACCUACGAUCGAGAGUGUGCGGAAUACCACCUAAUGCCGAGGUGAAGGGGCGGGCGAUGGAACUCGGGAGGACAAUGCCAUAAGGAAACCGAGCCAAUUAAUCUUCAACCAAUUGUGCCUAGUUCAUUACCCUUCAAAGAUGAGAUCGUUGGAGCAAAUUCUAAAACAGAUGAAAACCCCAGUAAUAUACCUCAAUAUCAGCAGGCUCAGAUUAUAGGAAGGAUGGGCACCCUUCGAUACAUAGAAUGAAAAAUAGCACAGUACAAGAGCAGAUUGCGGCUGAGAAGUCCCAAGACUGCAACCACUGGUGCUUGCUAGGCGUACCUGAUUCAUAGAACAAGCUCCUAUAUUCUUCUCUUCUAAGAAGUGUAAUAUUUGACUCCUCUUUUGCUCCGAGAAGUGAUUAGUCUGUUCUUUUGUAGAUUCCUACCCAGAAAUUUGCCUAAACACUUUAGGUUCCAUCCUAAUUGGUUGGUACUUGAGCUAUUGAAGGUGUCAUUUGUGCUAAUGAGCUAGAGAAUAUCCAAGUGUUUACAACUUGUAACAUGGCUGAAAGAGGAGAUUGCCUUCAGCAAAAACGAUUUGUAUGCUUUUUGCCAAACCAUUUAUGCAAACACACGUAGGGAACUUAUAUUGCUGCUACACAAAUUGAGACCCUUUGAUCUCUCCUGAAGCCAGUCCAAAUAAAAGGUCUAGGACUACUGAAAGCGGUGUUAAUUUAUUCCUUUCUCCACAGAACAGCUGGAAAAGUAAAAGUGAGAGAGUGUGAAUCAAUAGGAGUUCACCAUUGCCAGAGUUGUGACUUGCCGGUCCGUCAUGUAUCGGGCAAAGCUCCAGAGUGUUCGCCGAAGCAAACUGCCACGAUGAACUGAUUAGUUUAGUGGCGAGGAUAGUAUUUCAAAAACAAAAAUACAAAAGUGAAAAAGCCAGUUUCUGCUUUCAAGACCCAUGGAGAUGCUCUUGCCGGAAAUACUCCAUGCCAAUUGGAGGAGUUAACGAGUUGAAAGUUGGUGAGAACUUGGGAUCUGAAUGCAUGCCUUUAAAUAGCUGUUUAAAGUGCUCCUGCUUUUGGACCAGAUGGGAAAAUAAAAUACAAGAAGAUAAAAAUGUGUCCAAGCUCCUUUUAUAGUGAAAAAGGGCAGGUCUCUCUAUCAUCCAACCAGGGUUCCCAACUAAUUUGCAAGCUUUAUCAGUGCAGAUCAGUCCUCAUCAACACCCACAUACAACCAUGUAAUAUUAUGCUGUUUUCUUUUUAAUUUUUCAAUUACAAAAAUUACAAUUCAGCUUCUGAA